AACCUAGAUAUAGCGUAUUUUGUUUGUACAAAUAAUAGAUAUAUAAGUGAGACAGGGAGAAAGAAAGAAAGGGAGAAAAGAUCUCAAAUUUGGCGAUGUUGUGCAGAGAUUUAAAACUAAGCUGUUAUAGAGAGCAGGCAGUUCAAAUCUUAUGAAUAGGAACCAGCAUGCAAAAUAAGUAGGAAGAACAUUACAGGUAGCAAUUACAUGAAGUUCAAAGACAAUAAUUUAAGGAAAAGAUUUCUAUUUGAAAAACAGAAUAUAUUCAGAGGGACAGAAGAAUUGUGGCCAAUGUGAAAAAUGAUGUUAAAGGUUUUAUUUGUUUUCUUUUGUUUUGUUUUUAAAAUAACAAGGAGGAGACGUUAUUUACAGCCUUUUCUAGCCAGAAUAAGUUAGAUUUUUGGGGAAACCACUGGAAGAAUUUAAUCUAGGAGGGCAAAAUAACAGAGUCGUUUUAUCAGUAAGAAAUCUGUUACAGUAUGACAUGUGAAAGAGAACAGAAGUUUGACUAGCUAGUACUAGGGAAUUUGAUGACCCAUGGAUAAAUUAAGUAUACAUUUUUAAGCUAAAAUCUAUGGCACAAAUUUCUGAGAUUUUUCUUUAGAGAAAGUUGGUAGAUAUGCACAUUUGUAGGCAGUAUCUCAUAGUGAUAAAAAGCAAAACACCAUCUUUAGGGUUAGCAUGU
rnacentral:lncRNA from 1 species